UGCUGUUCCAUUUUCUCUCUGCUCUUCUGCAGACAGAGUGACAGGAGAACUAGGAGUCAACAGGCACGAUUGCUGGCCCCCUAAAUGUCAUCUGGGGACUUCCAGUGCCUGACUACUUACCAUGUGAGCAACUUUCCUGAAGGAGGGCCUAUGUCUAUUCUUUCAGGAUGCUGUGGAAAGGGAGGAAGAUUGAGUUUGGAGAUGGGUGAUUCUGGCUUCACCUUUGUCUCUGUGGCCUUGGAUUUCCGAUCUUGAUUGGGUGUCCAUGAGCUGUUACUUUCUUCUUGCACUUUUUAUGGAAGUCU